CGUGCAGGCGGUCUGUUAAGUCUAGGGUGAAAGCUCCCGGCUCAACUGGGAGAGGUCCUUGGAUACUGGCGGACUUGAGGGAGGCAGAGGAGAAUGGAAUUCCCGGUGUAGUGGUGAUAUGCGUAGAUAUCGGGAGGAACACCAGUGGCGAAGGCGGUUCUCUGGGCCUUACCUGACGCUGAGACGCGAAAGCGUGGGGAGCGAACCGGAUUAGAUACCCGGGUAGUCCACGCCGUAAACUAUGAACACUAGGUGUGGGGGGUAUCGACCCCCUCCGUGCCGAAGCUAACGCAGUAAGUGUUCCGCCUGGGGAGUACGGCCGCAAGGCUAAA
rnacentral:rRNA from 1 species